AGGAGCUCCUGAAACCGGAGUGUCCACUGAGCGGCGCCGCAGCCCGCAACUUGCACCAGCAGAGCCAGCCGGCGUUUCCUCCCUUGCAACACGCUGCAGGGCCAAUCCGCUCGCACACCCCGUGUAGGGUUACAAUGACAAGGGCCCUGUCUGAACCACGACUUUUAGAAAGAUAAUAUUACAGGCCCACAGCUGAUCCAUCUCCCAGUGCACAAUUGAGACAGAGGAGGUUAAAGCACUCUGAACGCACGGGACCAUAUUGCAGCUGGAGAUGCUCGAUUGCUUCAUAAACAAAGAGGCAGUAAACAUAAACAGCAAGAGAAGGCAUU